CCUACGGGAGGCAGCAGUGGGGAAUAUUGGGCAAUGGAGGAAACUCUGACCCAGCGACGCCGCGUGCGGGAUGGAGGCCUUCGGGUUGUAAACCGCUUUCAGUAGGGAAGAAGCGAAAGUGACGGUACCUACAAAAGAAGCACCGGCUAACUAUGUGCCAGCAGCCGCGGUAAUACAUAGGGUGCAAGCGUUGUCCGGAAUUAUUGGGCGUAAAGAGCUCGUAGGUCGUUUGUUACGUCGGAUGUGAAAACCUGAGGCUCAACCUCAGGCCUGCAUUCGAUACGGGCAAACUAGAGUUUGGUAGGGGAGACUGGAAUUCCUGGUGUAGCGGUGGAAUGCGCAGAUAUCAGGAGGAACACCAAUGGCGAAGGCAGGUCUCUGGGCCAAUACUGACACUGAGGAGCGAAAGUCUGGGGAGCGAACAGGAUUAGAUACCCUGGUAGUCCAGACCGUAAACGGUGGGCACUAGUUGUGGGAACCUUCCACGGUUUCUGCGACGGCNGCUACGACAUAGUAGUCCCGCCGUCGGGAGGUACGUAGUCGCGAAGAAGUUAAAACGUUAAAAGGUAAAGUUAGUACGGUCGUGUAGAGUUGUCCGACGGACGACGACGAGGGAGGAGG
rnacentral:rRNA from 1 species